UCCUAACCGGAGUCUUCUUCCUUCCCGUUUCUGACAAAAUCAGACUCGAGGAGUCUGGCAAGGGUAGAAAACCUCCUCUAUAAAGACCCCCCAUCCUCCCUUAGGAUCUUUCAACAAAAAUUUUCGAAGAAAUUUGAGGAAUUGUGGAAUUUUCUCAAGGGAGGCACUGUGAGCGUUGAUCGGAAGAGAAGGGCCGUCGGAGCUGUUUUUGGCCACCGGAACCAAGGUAAGGUCCCAAUUCUUCCUUCUCUCUCUCUUGCUCAUCUUGUCACAACCCC
rnacentral:lncRNA from 1 species